AUGAGCGAGCCGAAAGGCAAGCAUAAUAUCCAUAACACUGUGAACUGUUGGCCUCGGCCAAAUUUUUUACAAACUUUGUGUAAUGAACGUAAAAUACUAUAAUCAAUA
rnacentral:misc_RNA from 1 species